AUUGAACGCUGGCGGCAUGCUUUACACAUGCAAGUCGAACGGUAACAGGUUAAGCUGACGAGUGGCGAACGGGUGAGUAAUGCAUCGGAACGUGCCCGGUCGUGGGGGAUAACGCAGCGAAAGCCGCGCUAAUACCGCAUACGAUCUGAGGAUGAAAGCGGGGGACCGUAAGGCCUCGCGCGAUCGAAGCGGCCGAUGUCAGAUUAGGUAGUUGGGGGGGUAAAGGCUCACCAAGCCGACGAUCUGUAGCUGGUCUGAGAGGACGACCAGCCACACUGGGACGGAGACACGGCCCAGACUCCUACGGGAGGCAGCAGUGGGGAAUUUUGGACAAUGGGCGCAAGCCUGAUCCAGCAAUGCCGCGUGCAGGAAGAAGGCCUUCGGGUUGUAAACUGCUUUUGUACGGAGCGAAAAGGCUCUCUCUAAUACAGGGGGUUCAUGACGGCACCGUAAGAAUAAGCACCGGCUAACUACGUGCCAGCCGCCGCGGUAA
rnacentral:rRNA from 1 species